CCUACGGGGGCUGCAGUGGGGAAUAUUGGACAAUGGGCGAAAGCCUGAUCCAGCCAUGCCGCGUGUGUGAAGAAGGCCUUCGGGUUGUAAGGCACUUUCAGUGGGGAAGAAAGCCUUGGGGCUAAUACCCUCGAGGAAGGACAUCACCCACAGAAGAAGCACCGGCUAACUCCGUGCCAGCAGCCGCGGUAAUACGGAGGGUGCGAGCGUUAAUCGGAAUUACUGGGCGUAAAGCGCGCGUAGGCGGUCUGAUAAGCCGGUUGUGAAAGCCCCGGGCUCAACCUGGGAACGGCAUCCGGAACUGUCAGGCUAGAGUGCAGGAGAGGAAGGUAGAAUUCCCGGUGUAGCGGUGAAAUGCGUAGAGAUCGGGAGGAAUACCAGUGGCGAAGGCGGCCUUCUGGACUGACACUGACGCUGAGGUGCGAAAGCGUGGGUAGCAAACAGGAUUAGAUACCCGUGUAGUC
rnacentral:rRNA from 1 species